GUCCCUCGCCUGUAAUCCAAGUUACCGGGAGGCUGAGGCUGGAGGAGCUCUGGGCUGCAGCGGACUAUGUCGAUCGGGUGUCCGCACUAAGUUCGGUAUCGAUAUGGUGCUCCGGGGGGAGCCCGGGAUCACCAGGUCGUCUAAGGAGGGGUGCACCGGCCCAGGUCGGACACAGAGCAGGUCAAAGCCCCCGUGAAUAGACGCUGUAGUUCAGCCUGAGUAAGACAGCGGGACCCAGUCUUUA
rnacentral:SRP_RNA from 1 species